rnacentral:tRNA from 1 species
UCCCUGGUAGCUCAUUGGUAAAGAAUCUGUCUGCAGCACAGGAGACCCAGGUUUGAUCCCUGGGUCGGGAA